rnacentral:rRNA from 1 species
GGACAGAAAGACCCUAUGAAGCUUUACUGUAGUUUGGAAUUGGGUUCGGGCUCUUCUUGCGCAGCCUAGGUGGGAGGCUAUGAAGAUAAACUUUUGGGUUUAUUGGAGCCAACAGUGAGAGACCACUCUAGAGGAGCUAGAAUUCUAAUGGCGUUCCUUGAAGCAGGACGCUUGACAGUUUCAGAUGGGCAGUUUGACUGGGGCGGUCACCUCCUAAAAGGUAACGGAGGUGUGCAAAGGUUCCCUCAGGCUGGACGGAAAUCAGCUGUAGAGUGUAAAGGCAGAAGGGAGCUUGACUGCAAGACCUACAAGUCGAGCAGGGGCGAAAGCCGGCCUUAGUGAUCCGACGGUUCCGAGUGGAAGGGCCGUCGCUAAACGGAUAAAAGUUACUCUAGGGAUAACAGGCUGA